AGUAACACGUGGGCAACCUGCCCUGAAGCGGGGGAUAACAUCUGGAAACAGGUGCUAAUACCGCAUAACAACGAAAACCACAUGGUUUUCGUUUCAAAGAUGGUUUCGGCUAUCACUUCAGGAUGGGCCCGCGGUGCAUUAGCUAGUUGGUAAGGUAACGGCUUACCAAGGGCGAUGAUGCAUAGCCGAGUUGAGAGACUGAUCGGCCACAAUGGAACUGAGACACGGUCCAUACUCCUACGGGAGACAGCAGUG
rnacentral:rRNA from 1 species